rfam:Gossypium raimondii scaffold_723_contig_1, whole genome shotgun sequence.
GGGUGCAAUCAUACUUGCACUAAUGCAUCGGAUCCCAUCAGAACUCCGCAUUGAAGCGUGCUUGGGCGAGAGUAGUACGAGGAUGGGUGACCUCCUAGAAAGUCCCCGUGUUGCACCCC